rnacentral:rRNA from 1 species
UACGUAGGGUGCAAGCGUUGUCCGGAAUUAUUGGGCGUAAAGAGCUCGUAGGCGGUCUGUCGCGUCGGCUGUGAAAUCUCGGGGCUCAACCCCGAGCCUGCAGUCGAUACGGGCAGACUAGAGUGUUGCAGGGGAGACUGGAAUUCCUGGUGUAGCGGUGAAAUGCGCAGAUAUCAGGAGGAACACCGGUGGCGAAGGCGGGUCUCUGGGCAACAACUGACGCUGAGGAGCGAAAGCGUGGGGAGCGAACAGG